rnacentral:lncRNA from 1 species
UUUGCUUCAACAAGCACAGGGUUCUUUAAUGAUAAACAUAUUAGGGAAUGAUGCAUGUGGGCCUACAUCAUCAAUUUUCAUAUCUACUUUUCAUAAUGCCAGCUCUUUGAUGCGAAUGGACAGGGGACGUUUUGUUUUACAGUUUCAUAGAGGCGCCAUUGUUUUCUAUUGCUCUCAAAAACAGCAUAUCAACUUGAAGUUACUCCCAGACUUACAAGUCUGCUCAGGAAUGGAUGGUGUGCUUCACCUCGCUUGCUGAUUCAUAUUUUGAUGAUACUUUCGAGGGAGACAAGGAAGAGAGGUUACAAAAUGAAGACUUUCAUUCUUUUAUAUUUUCUAGGACUAACUUGCAACAAGGUCUCUGCAAAUGGCAACUCAACAAAAGUCUACUAUAUGGUACUGAGGACUGAGGCGUCCAUACCGGACAACCGUAUUAAUGCUAUACUCAAAUCUUUUAAAAUGGACAAUCCUGUGAGUGUUGACACCCUUAACGUCACAACAGGUAAAUAUGUAUGCAAUACUGUAGCUGGUUUACGAAUGUAGUAUCAAAUACUCUAACAUGGGAAACAUUGCAUUAUUAAACCUACUGUAAUAACACACACGUCUAACCCCGUGUCUAUUCAGUAUAGGCCUAUAUAAAGCAAACUCUAUAUAUGUGCCUACACAUUGUGUUCCCUUCAUUUUAAUUUCAUUUAUUUGGGGGUAAAUAUGGCUAAAAUUAUGCACUGAAAUUAUUUCAACAGAUUGUGUCCCUCUUCAAAACAAAACUCAGUGCAAAUGCACACCAGGGCAUAUCUGGAGUGUUGCAGUGUGUCAGUCUUCACCUAACUGUUGUAAACAAAAAAACUGCACAUUUG